rnacentral:lncRNA from 1 species
GUCUGAGGCAGGGGCGCCCCGCAGCCGGCUGCCUGGCCCACCAGAGGCCUGUGAGCUCCAGGGCCUGCAACACCCACUUCUGCCCCGCUCCUGCCCCCCCCGCACCACCUCCACCCGCUCACUCACGGAAAGAAGAGAAGCCCUGCCUGGACUCGUUCGGAUGGUGCCACCUGGUUCCCCAGCACGGCGUCUGCAAUCACAAGUUCUACGGCGAGCAGUGUUGCAAGUCCUGCUCCAUGAAGAAACAAUGAAAGUGGAAAAAAAAAAAAAAACUGAGCAGCCGCCCCAACACAGACUCCAUUUCCCAUGAGCACCCCCAACACAGACUCCGAUCUUCAGACCCUUUCGAUUCAAAAUGGACACUAUGGACGAGCUCCAUGAGAGGUUUGCUCACUGGCUGACACAGGACAUGGAGGCAAUGCAGUCGUUGCCUUCCUGGAGUACUUGAUGAUGAGGAUGAUGAUGAUGAGGAUGAUGAUGAUGAGCAGAGUUGGUGACGGAGAAAAAGAAACGUUGCAGAGACAAUGCCACUGAGCAGAAGUGGAUGCUUGUCGUGUUUAAUUUUUUCCUUUGUGUUUUAUUUCCAGCAUUCACUUGUCAGUCUUUUUUGAGAGCUCUUGAGGACAUCUGUGUAUCCAAUCUGUUCUAUAUACACACACGCUUGUAUAUUUAAAUGUGCAACAGGACAUUUUUAAGUUAUUUUGUGUUUCCUGUGUGAUUGUGCAUGUCUUGAUGUACUGUAGCUUAUGCCUGGUACAUCUUGGGAAAUUAUUAUCAAACCAUUUCUUACCGGUAUAUCUCAAAAGACUUCUUAAAUUACCAUUUUUUGACAUCAAUUCCCAGAUGCACUAAUUCCCCCGUGGUUUACCUAAUGUUCUUCCUAUGAUGGUGAGGUACGAUGGUGAGGUAUUCCUCAAAGAUCUGUUUAUGAUGGCGAGGUAUUCCUCAAUGAUCCGUUUAUGUGUGUUUGUCAUGCUGUGUCAUUUGGUUUAAAGAAAGAAAUAAGUCCCCGGCCUUUGGUAUCGUUAACGCAACAGGACUAAACAAUAACAAAGAGGUUCCUGCUUCACCACAGCAAAUAGUCCUGGACCUUCAGUGAGGGCCUCAGUCUUAGAGUCAAGGUAUCA